rnacentral:misc_RNA from 1 species
GGAAACGACCUGGGAGAAGAUGAAGAACAAGUCACUGACAGCGAUCAUGAUGAAAUUGUUCGUGAAAUUGAUGUGUGUAUUAACCCUUCUUUUGAUCCCAGCACUCAGUUAUAUGUGUUUCAAUACCCAUUGAAGGCCGUAUGGCGUCCGUAUGAAUUGGAGGAAAGAUGUCAAGAGGUGAGGUUGAGACCUUCAACUGCAGAAAUGGAGGUUGAUUUGGC